UUUUAGGGAAAAAGUUGUAAUAUUUGGGGGAAAAGUUGUAAUAUUUUAGGGAAAAGUUGCAAUAUUUCGGAAAAAAAUCGUAAUAUUUUGGAAAACAGUUGUAACAUUUUGGGGAAAAAAUCGUAAUAUUUUGGGAAUAAAGUUGUAAUAUUUCAGGAAUAA